AUGAUUUAUUGAAAAAUUUAUAAAUAGAAGUGAUAAAGGGUAUCACUUAUCUCGUAUUUGUGUUAUAUUAUUAGAAAAGACGAUUUUCCUAGACUGCUUCUGACAAUUAUCUUACUUUCAAUUUACAUAAGAUUCGAAAAUGCCAAAAAAAUACAGAACUAAAAGCUUCCAAUUGUGUCAUUGUUGUCACAAAUGGCGCUGCCAAUGUCUGGUGCCACGAAAAGAGAAACCCCAUCCUCCCUUUAACAGCGGAACAGAGCCAGGUAGCAAAAUGGGCUUGCAUCCCAAACUGAAGGCGCUUGUGCCAACGUCGCCAGCUGUGGGUUCUUACCAUCCUCGACCGAUCGAUCAUAAAUCCUUAAUUAUUAGUUGGCGAAGACAGCAAGAAACAGAAGAAUUUUCCGCCGCGAUGAGCAGGUUGGCAAAGGAAAUUGAGGACAAGAAGAGCAUAAUAAAAAUCGAUCGCGGACCCGCAAGUUAUGAUAUACUUCGCUGGCCAGAAAGGCCAGUUAUAGACGCUUUAGGCGAACCUUGUAAGAGUUUGCGAAUGGAUGUUGGUUUCGGGACCGUUCCGCAAUUCCAAACGAUUUACAAAUCCACCACGCCCGGUCCAGGUUGAUAACAUCAUCUUCCGAAAAAAUAAAUCAAAUUAUCUCGAGAGAAAAUUAGAACACACUUGCUUCUAUUUUUCUGCAAGAUUAAAACAAAAUUUUCUAAACUUAAAAAGGAGAAUUUUAAAAGAAAGGAUACACACUGAGAACGCACAAUCCCUUUUUCUUUUUGGAUCAAAAAAGGUUACAAGAUUUUUCCCAUACACCUUCAUUUGAGUACGACAAUUUAGCUCCCAGAUUCCGAGAAACUAUAAGUACCUGGUCUUUACCAUGCAAUAGGUAAA